AUUAGCUCAGCUGGUAGAGCACCUGACUCUUAAUCAGGGUGUCCAGGGUUCGAGUCCCUGA
rnacentral:tRNA from 5 species